rnacentral:tRNA from 1 species
GUCAUCGUAGCUUAAAAUAUUAAAGCCUGGCCUUGAAGAUGCCAUUAUAGGACUUGAUGCCUCAAUGACA